rnacentral:lncRNA from 1 species
GCCUCUGCAUUUUCUGGAAGAUUAUCAACUUUAGGCAUUGGAAGACUCACAAAUUUGAUGAGAGGAGCAACGUUUGGUGGUAGUUGAGGGAGGCGUUGUAUGUUUCUUGGGGUAGAAACAUAGCUAACUUGGUGACCCUUUUGUGCUAUAAGUUUGGCCACUUCAAGGUAUGGGAUCAUGUGACCAAAGGCUAGCCAUGGAAACAUUACUAUGUGAAGUGCCUUUUCUUCAUCCAUGGUGAAAUAAGAUAGAUAGCUACAAUGGAAAAUAUGCCGUUGACUUUUAUAUACUCAAAUGACAAGGUUGUAUGCAUACUUAUUUCCCUAUAAAUUACAGUUCACGCGUCCCACGAGGAAAGAGUUGUCGUAAUAGAAAAUAAAUCAUUAAUUUGGCGGUUUAUCACAUGCAUCCUCUCUAACUCUCUAAAUAAAGUAAUAAAUCUCAGUUGUAGAUACGAGUGCUAAUAAUAAAUCGAAUCAACUCAAAAAUAGUUUGAAAUUUGAUUCGGUAAUUAGUUCGUUAAACUUGGUUCAUGAACCAAAUUUGAGUUGAAAAUUAAGUUCAUUAGAUAAAUGAGUUGAACUUAAACUGCAUAUAUUUUGAUUCGUUUAAUUAAUGAUUCAGCUAGAUAUAUCAUUUCUUACUGUCAGCCAUAAUCUAUUUGUGAUUAGAAAAUUUUGGAUAUUAAAUAAGUAUAUUUUAUCUGUAAUUUAUAAUAUCAUAAUACUGUGAUGAUAUAUUUUUUUUUUUAAAAUGUAACUCAAUUUUAAGAAAAGAGGAGUAAGAAGUAAGUAGACCGCAAAGGAAGUAAAAAGAAAACAAGAGAUUUGCAAAUAGAUAUUUUUUUUUUAACAAGUCAAAAUAGAAUUAUAUUAACAUUAUAUAGUAUUCGUCACAGUAUAAGGCGUACCGAAGAGAACACUAAAAAAUUACAAGCGGUUUAAGAAGUACAUAAAGUGGACUAGCCAAUGCCUAAACACGACAAAGGAUUUGCCCAUCACAAAUGUUCGCCAAAAACAAACGCAGUCUUUUUAGCUUUCAGCUAUCAUAAAGAAUAAGACUUAAUUUUAUAUAAUAGCUGAAAAAUAGAGCUUUCUUUAUUGUUAAACAACCUAUUAUUUUGCUCAUUCCACAAAGUCCAAACAGUAAGGAGCCAAAUAAGCUGAAAGAAAGACCUUCUCGAUUUCAAUCCACUUGUGGAAAAGAUAAUUUGAGUUAAAUGGUCGAUAAUAAAGUGAUGAUAUGCACCUUCAAAACCAAUCCACGACCGCAAUAAAGGCCAAAUGGAGCCAAAAAAUCUGCACGAUAAAAACAAAUGACUCGCGUCCUCCAUCUGACCACAAUCAGACACACAAAGAUGAAAAUAAAUUGAUGAAUUUCUAACCAUUAAACUAUUUGACAAAAAAUAAUAGUAAUUAUUGCUCAAAAUUGAUGAAUUCCCUUAAUUUAAUCUUUAUUAAUAAGAUGUGAAAGAUUAAAUUGAUGAAUUUUUCAUAUACUUUUUUUUAGCAUAGGAUUUUUCAUAUACUUAAAGAUGAAUUAAAUUGACCAAUUUUUUAUACUAUAUAGAUUGUUCAUUAUACUUAUAUAUAGUUUAAGGACCCAACUUUAACUAUUGAAGGACACACCAAACAGGUACUACUUCCACAUCCUACAAAGUCUAAAGUACUCUCUCAAAUCUCAAAUACAUGUAAAAAAUAGUUAAAUAAUUUGAUGUAUGUGGUCGAAAUUUGAAAUAAAUAUACAAACUCUAUUUAACCAAUGUUUUUACUUAUAUAUGAAUCAGAACGACAGUGGUACUGAUUCCCGAUGACUCACCGUGAUUUUACAGAAACUAUAAAGUACAGCUUUUGAAAAUCAUGAUAGAUCAUCAUGAUUCUGGCAUAUCCACCAAAAUAUCAAAAGAUAAACUUAAUCAUUUGAAUCAUUCACACGAAAAUUUAAAAGUCCACUCUUGAAAUAACUUUGCUGAAUAGCAAACCAUAACAUAUUCCCUAACAAUCCGUGUGCUAUCAUCAAAAUCAUUGAAAGUCUUGGCUUACCAAUCUCUUUACUUCUAACAAUAUGUGAACAAGAUUGAAUAUAAAUGAAAGAUAAAGAAAUUUGGUGGACCUUAUUAAUGAAUGCAGUAACAAGGAAGAAGAAAUUACUUAAUUAAAACUAAGGAAUAAUUCUAAGGUGGUCCAACAAGCUAGUAACAUAUCUAUCUUGUCUUUCAGGAUUGACAAACAAAUCCUUCAUGUUCUUAAUAUUAUCCCUAUAGAUCCUUCCCUCUUCUUCAACCAUAACUAACCUAAUCGAGUGAGCCACCAUAUCACUUGUGAAAGACCCAUCUCUCUCAUCUCUAGGCACUGAGUAUCCCAUCUUCUUUUCUUCCAACAUUCUUGCAUUUAUUCCUUGAUCUGCAAGACACGUUAACAACACAAGUGGCUUCUCAUGUUGAACUGCUUCUACCACCGAUGUCCACCCUGCAUGAGUCAAGAAUCCACCAACUGCCACGUGGCUUAAUAUCUUCAUUUGUGGGGCCCAUUCAGUGCAUACCACUCCACGUACUUUGGUUCGUUCUUCAAACCCUUCUGGCAACUGCAACACAACCUUAUCUGUAGGCCCACGUCGUACCCUAAGGACCCAAAAGAAUGGAAGGUUUGACUUCUCCAACCCUAAAGCUAUCUCAUUCACUUCUUCUUGACUUGGUUUUGCUUCACUACCAAAAGCCACAUAUACCACUGUGCCAUUUGGUUUCUUGUCUAACCACUCCUUCAUCCACCACCAUGUGUUGUUUUCGUCGCCGCCCUCAAACUCCGUGCUAAGGAGCUGACCGGCGGGAAGAACUAAUUUGUUGUGAAUAUUUUGGAUCACUUGAAACCACUCAGGUUCAAAUUCGGUACAACCACGAAUCAAAAUGAACUCACUAUUCUUAAUUGAUGAACAAAAGCGAUACGCAUCAGAAAAACCUGAGUCAUUAUUGUCGGAGAGAAUGUCCAUGAUCUUGAUGAUCUCAAAAUAACGGUACGCCACAGUGGUCUUAAAGGGAACCCACGACGGAGAAACAAGAAAGUCCUCCGGCUUUGUUCGAACCGGGUCGUUACCUAAGAGAACUGAACCCGGUCCCAUAAAGCCCAUGAACGGUGGAGUGAAAAUAGAGAAAAAAACACAUUUUAUACCUAAUUGGGGUGCCACAGAACCCAACCAAAAAGGAACAAAAUCAUGCAAAAUCCAAUCAGCAUUAGAAGAUUGAAGGAAAUGAGUUAAAGGUUGUUCAAGUUUGUCAAAGGCAUUUUUCAGGUGUGGUACAACGUCAUAAGGAAUAUCUGUAGUAGCCUCUGCAUUUUCAGGAAGGUUAUCAACUUUUGGCAAUGGAAGGCUCACAAAUUUGAUGAGAGGAGCAACAUUUGGUGGUAGUUUAGGGAGGCGUUGUAUGUUUCUUGGUGUAGAAACAUAACUUACUUGGUGACCCUUUUGUGCUAUAAGCUUGGCUAGUUCAAGAUAUGGAAUCAUGUGACCAAAGGCUAGCCAUGGAAACAUUACUAU